UUUUUAAAAGAAGGUACUGUGCAAACUUUUUACAUUACAAAAUCUUGCUCAGUUGCAAUCCAGACAUCCAACAGAGCAGGUCUCCUUUGGACUCCUUGGGAAUGGAUUUUUAUCGCAAAGAAGAAAUGAGCAGAGAGCUCAAGCUGGCUUUUCUCCAUCUGUGGAGACUUGUACUUGCUCCAUGGCUGCUCAUGGACCCCAGGUAAGCUGAACAUUGAGUACUGAUUGCAUCUGGAAUAAAAUAACCCUCAGAUUUACAGCCAGUUGUUGCUUCCUCAUGAGGAAAUCUCUAUUGCACAAAAAUUCUCAGUGUUUACCAACUAUCAUUUUCCAAACACAAUAGAAGAGGUUUUGCCAAGAGCACAGGGGUUAUGCAACAGCCUCUCUACUAUAUUUGUAGUAAUGUUUAGUUCUAUACUGUAAAGUAGCUAUGGGUACUGAGGUAGGAUGAGCAUGUAGGAUUGACUUUAAAUUUUCUGCCUUAUGAUGCAUCAUGAUCUGGGGUAUGGUCGGGAGUUUCCUGCCACAAAUGACACAGGAUCUGCCACUGCUUCCAAACAUAAUAGGUUCUCAUGGCAUUUGUUACCAACAUAAGAUCAUGUCUUGAAACAUUUUCCAAUAAAAAGCAAGAGAGAAAGUCACUAAUGUCAGUCAUUGACACUUGUGACCCAUGCUGGGGUCUAUUAGGCAGUGACUAGGUAUAUGUUCUGAAAACUUCCCUUCUUAUAUGCUAGCUGAACAGACAUCCCAUGUUCAAAUGCCUGCUUAGAGGGCUGAGGUCUCUUGCAGGUACAUACUGAAGAGGCCAAUGGACCCAAGCAUGGCUUUAGAUACACAAAAAUCAUGUGUGGGUAUUUACUGGGGAGGGUGAAUAAGGAAAAACAAGGCAAAAAUGAGAAUGCCUGUAUUUCAUAACACGCAGCGACAUUUUAAUUACAUCUGACCAUUUCAGUGACAGCUUUUAGGAAAGCAUGGCUCUUUACUCGUUUUCAUCCUGAGACAACACUGUACAGAACAUGUUAGUAUUACUAUUUCCUAGGUAAAGCUAGGCAGAAGAAGGAAAUGGAGUUGGCCAGGAUCACUUAGUCAUUCAAUCAGCGGGAGAAUUGGGAUUUUUAAUGGGGACAUUUAGUUCUAGAAGAGUCUUCUGCUCAUUAUUUUCUACCCAUUCUCAUUUAGGUGAAUGAAAACAUUCUCAGUAAUAGUUAUUGCUGGGAGCAGAGGUUUUUAACUCUGCCUUCUUUCAAGAAGAUUUUCUUCCAUCUAAUCCAGAGAACACAGUAAAUGGCAAAUAGAAUGGCUUUUUGGAGAUUUCUGUGAUUGUAUAAAAUAGUAAAUUUAUUUGUAAAGGAGCCCAGCAUUUCAAAGAUAUAACUUCCUUUUUAAAAUAGUAAAAAUAUUUUAUCCAUUUUUAGGUACAAGCCUAUGUUAAAUGAUCAUUUAUAACAUUUAUAUGGAAAAAAUCUCAGUGCUGUCCUUUCACUUCAUCAAUGUGCAGGUACUGUAUGUGAAAGAAGAUUUGUGAAUUUUCAAGUAAGGUAAUAAAAAUAGUUCUUCAAUCAUUAA